rnacentral:rRNA from 1 species
GCGGGCGAACCUCGCCAACGAACGAUCGGACAUGGGAUAACGGAAGAGGGCGUCGGCUCGACUUCGUCGGUUCCUCGGGCCGAGGCACGUACGGUGAAUAGGGACGGUCGGGGCCGCCCGUACCGGGUCGUGAGAGGUGAAAUUCUAGGAUCGACCCGAGACGAACCGCCGCGAAAGCAUUCGGCAAGGACGCUUUCAUUAAUCAAGAACGAAAGUCGGGGGAUCGAAGACGAUCAGAUACCGUCGUAGUCCCGACCGUAAACGAUGCCGACCGAGGGCCCGGAGGAGUUACGUACGACCCUCCGGGCCCUCCCGCGAGAAAUCAGGAGUAUUCGGGUUCCGGGGGGAGUAUGGUCGCAAGGCCGAAACUUAAAGGAAUUGACGGAAGGGCACCACCAGGAGUGGAAUCUGCGGCUUAAUUUGACCCAACGCGGGAAAACUCACCAGGUCAGGACACGGUAAGGAUUGACGGACUGAAGGCUCUUUCU